AGUGAACGCUGGCGGUAGGCCUAACACAUGCAAGUCGAACGGCAGCACAGUAAGAGCUUGCUCUUACGGGUGGCGAGUGGCGGACGGGUGAGGAAUACAUCGGAAUCUACUUUUUCGUGGGGGAUAACGUAGGGAAACUUACGCUAAUACCGCAUACGACCUACGGGUGAAAGCAGGGGAUCUUCGGACCUUGCGCGAUUGAAUGAGCCGAUGUCGGAUUAGCUAGUUGGCGGGGUAAAGGCCCACCAAGGCGACGAUCCGUAGCUGGUCUGAGAGGAUGACCACCCACAGGGGAACAGAGACCCGGCCCAGCCCCCUGCGGGAGCAACCGUGGGGGAUUGUGGCACAAGGGGCGCAAGCCUUACCCACCCAUCCCGCGGGGGUAAAGAGGCCUUUCGGGUUGUAAGCCCUUUUUUUGGGGAAAAAAAAGCAGCGGUUUAAUCCCCCGGUUUUCUGAGGGUACCAAAAAAAAAACCCCCGGCUAACUUCGUC
rnacentral:rRNA from 1 species